rnacentral:rRNA from 1 species
UACCAGCACCCCGAGUGGUCGGGACGUUUUAUUGGGCCUAAAGCAUCCGUAGCCGGUUCUACAAGUCUUCCGUUAAAUCCAGCUGCUUAACAGAUGGGCUGCGGAAGAUACUAUGGAGCUAGGAGGCGGGAGAGGCAAGCGGUACUCGAUGGGUAGGGGUAAAAUCCGUUGAUCCAUUGAAGACCACCAGUGGCGAAGGCGGCUUGCCAGAACGCGCUCGACGGUGAGGGAUGAAAGCUGGGGGGAGCAAACCGG